CCUAGAGAAGAAGAAGAAGAAGAAGAAGAAGAAGAGGAGGAGGAGGAGGAAAGAAGAGGGAAGUAGAAGUCAUCUUAGCUACGUUACCGCAAAGAAAAGGUUGUUUUUCUUCGCUUUUUUGCAAAGAGGUGGCAGCUUGCUUCUGGAAGUCGUGACAGCAUGGCGGCCGCUGCAGCGCAGUGGGAUGAGCACCAGGCGUAUGAGGAGCUGCUUUACUGGGACGCCCUGAUUCAAGAGGGACACCGCCUCCUCCCGCACGAUUUUGAUAGAUAUGAGGAUCUGCGCUACUGGUAUGACAGCCUGUGCUACGAGGAGGAGCUGAGACAAUACCACGAUUACGUCGCUGCUAUCGAGGAGAUUGAGCACCACCGGCACCAUGAGGACGCUCCGGCCCCACGGAUGCACUCAGGUCCAUAUGAUCGCCACGUGAUGGCCAAACACUCUGAAGUGUAUCCUUCACCAGAGGAGCUGGAGGCGGUGCAGACAAUCGUCUCUCGGGUGGAGUGCGCCCUCAAGAUUGUGUCUGACCAGAUGGAUACUCCGAAAGAUAACACAGGAAAUGCAGAGGCAGGGAGUUGUGAUUCACAAGAGCGUGUCCUGCGCGGUGUUAUGAGGGUCGGUCUGGUGGCCAAGGGACUCCUGCUGACCGGAGACAAGGACCUGGAGCUGGUGCUGCUUUGCUCCAGCAAGCCAACCAUCACUCUGCUUAGUCAAGUGGCGGAAAAAUUAACUGAACAGCUGGAGGCAAGUUCAGCAGGAAUAUAUACAGUGAGCCCGUGUCCAGGGGAUGCAGGCCUUGUUGUGACGAGCACCAAGGACUCGGUCCUGACUCUCACGAUCCACCUGACAUCACCUCUUCUCAGGACGAAUCAAGAAAGUGAAACUGCAGAAGAAAAAGAUGACGACGAUGAUGAUGAAGAUGAAGAAUUAGAAGAAGAAAAAGAAGUAGCAACGCGAACAGACAACGAUCCGCCGGACGUUCUGGACAGGCAGAAAUGCCUAACUGCCUUGGCGUCUCUCCGCCACGCCAAGUGGUUCCAGGCCAAAGUCAACAACCUGAGUUCUGCCGUCCUCGUGGUCCGGAUCAUGAGAGACUUAUGUAACCGUGUUCCUACCUGGACGCCACUCUCAGGAUGGCCUCUGGAACUGCUGGUGGAGAAAGCUAUUGGAACAUCUGAGAGAGCGAUGGGAGCAGGCGAGUCGUUGCGCCGCGUUUUGGAGUGCGUUGCAUCUGGAAUCCUCUUGGAAGAUGGCCCUGGAAUAAGAGAUCCAUGUGAGAAAGAAACGGUCGACGCCACUGCAUACCUGACACAUCAGCAGCGUGAAGACAUCACGCAGAGUGCCCAGUUUGCCUUGAGGCUGUGUGCAUUCGGACAAAUGCACAAAGUGUUGGGGAUGGACUUCAAACCUAUAAAGCCACGGAGAACGGGGGGAGCCGGCGGCAAAGACGGCACAGCCCAGAUACCUCCUGCUGGACACUCCAGCCUGCCAGCUAAGAGACCUUACACACAGGUGGAGAAAGAAGAGGGGGAGCCCCAACUCAACAGCAAACAGAGGAAGUUUCUCAAGUUCCAGAAGCGCUUUCAGAGGAAAUCAUUCACGGAUGAUUUUAGCAUGAAUGCCGUGAUGCGUCUGAACCAGUACAGACCUGGCCUGGAGUACCGACUCACAUCUCAGACCGGUCCAGUCCACGAGCCGGUCUUCACAAUGGCUGUGGACGUAAACGGGAAGACCUACGAGUCGACGGGGCCGUCCAAACGAGCUGCCAAGCUUAACGUAGCCACGAAGGCCCUGCAGGAUCUCGGUCUUCCGACAGGCGCAGAGCCUAAAGCAGAGACCAUUGGUGAGGUUGAAAGAACCCAGGAAGUAGUCAAAGCUGCUAGCACGGCCUCUAAUACAUCAGACGAAACCGGUCAGGGUCCUAUCUUGACCAAACAUGGCAAGAACCCUGUGAUGGAGCUGAAUGAGAAGCGCCGCAGCCUGAAGUACGAGCUGUCUGCAGAGACGGGGGGCUCCCACGAAAAGUGCUUUGUGAUGGAGGUGGCGGUUGAUGGGCAGAAGUUCAAAGGGAGAGGCUCUAACAAGAAGGAAGCGAAGGCCUACGCUGCCCUCGCCGCUCUGGAGAAGCUGUUCCCAGAUGAAAGUGGAGUGUCGAACACGGACAGAAAUGCUCCAAAGAAGAAGGUCACCUACACUGACAUGCACAUCCCAGGGUUCGGCACUAUCCGUGGCAUUCCUUCAGACUCCGGGUCUCGUGGCUGGGGUCCCAACAGAGGUCGAGCCAGGGGCCGAGGCAAACAUUUUUCUUCAGGACCCAGCUAUAACAAGACCAACUACAGUUAUGAGGGCGGCUCUGGCGCAGGCUAUCAUAAAAUGUAUGGUAAUAAUGCAGCCGGCACCACAGCCACGGGCCCUGGCCCCACUGCAUCAGGCGUCAACGUUGGCUACGGCACCUUUUACCCGGAGGGCAGCGCCACCUACGCCUCCCCACCCGUCUCCGGCUCCGACAUCAGCACCACACAGGGAGAAAGCUACCAGUCGAUGCCUCCUCCCGCCGACCAGGAGAGCCCCUACAGCUACGGCUAUGGAGACGAGAAGAAGAAGAUGCUGACCCAAGGUCAGACCGAGAGCCAGGGAGGAGACUACUCUAUGUACAGCACAGCUUACCCCAGCUCAGUGACGGGUGGCCAAGUGUAUAAUAAUUAUGGAUAAAAUGAUGAGGUGAUGACAUUUUGGACUGACAUGGAUGUAAACUGCAACUUGGCUGAUUGACGGAGGCGUACAACCGCAAGGCGACUAUGGAAACCAGUCGUCCUCGGAGAAUCAGCAGAGUUACAGCACGUAUCAGGGCUUCGGAGGACAAAACCAGGGCUCAUACUCCGGAUACAGCGACAUGAAUUACUAACCAUCAGUGUACAAACUUUCUCAUCUCACGUCAUGUUUUUUGUUGUGUUUUCACCUCACUAGUUAGUUCUGGGACUUCUGGCAAGUUUUAGGAGACAGAUGCAGGCUUCCCUUUUGAAUAAAGGGUCCCUCUGCAACAUCCCUCAUGUCCGUGUUGACAUGAAUGUAAAAAAACGUACCUGGUUAAUCAUUAUUUCUCUGUACGGUUAUUGUGUUCAACAUAGUGUCCUGGUUCUGUAUCAGUAUGUUAUGGUUUUCAUUUCUGCUUGUAGUUUUGAACUGAAGAUUUAUUUCUGUCAUCCUUCUUGUAAAAUAAAUGAGUCUUAUUUUGA